rnacentral:tRNA from 3 species
CAAGACGUAGCUAUAACACAAAGCAUUCAGCUUACACCUGAAAGAUAUCUGCACACCACACAGAUCGCCUUGA